UCUUUGUUGGUUAAUAAGUUCUAGGUCCAUAUAUAUAUAUAUAUAUAUAUCUUUGCAUGUAAUAGCAAGCUAGCAGCUGACUUUUACUCUUGGUUGAGUCGUGGCUUGUGUACGUGCUUCUUUUUUAUUUAGCUAAGCUAAUUAAGAUGGCAUCCUCCGUGUAUAUAUUUAGUUGGGAGUGUAGUAGUGCAGUUGAACACGUACGAUGCCUGUGCUGCAUCUAAUUAGUAUACAUGAAGCUUUGGUGCCAAAUCGUGGUCCUUAUGUAGUGUAUAUAGGGUAUAUGUAUGUUGACAUGUUGUAGGAUUUAUGUGUAGCAUCUUCCCGGAGCUCAAAGGAUUUGGUGUAAUUGUUUAUAUUUAUAUUUACUAGGAAAUAUGCCCGUGCGUUGCUACGGAAGAAAGAUUGUAUGGUUGGAAAUUGCAUGAUGCACCUCCCAGUUGCCUUCCUCUCUAUUGGGCUUCUAGCACCCACAAUCGGCACCUCACACAGGAUCACUGCCUCACCAACCUUCCACGACGUCCUACCCUAACCAUAAGGUUCCUCUCUACCACUCCAGCAUGACGCCCCGUCGCUCACCCUACGCAAACUCUUACAAUUGUUUGUUGAGGAUUAAAAAAAAGAAAAAAUGGUUUUAAUUAUGUUCUUGAUUUUCUAGUAUCUAGUUAGAUUUUGGUUCAUCAGGUGUUGGGUUCAAGCCCUCAGAUUUGCAU
rnacentral:lncRNA from 1 species